CCUANGGGGGGCUGCAGUAGGGAAUAUUGGUCAAUGGGCGCAAGCCUGAACCAGCCAUGCCGCGUGAGUGAUGAAGGCCUUCGGGUCGUAAAACUCUUUUCUGAGGGAAGAACAUCCUGCGUAGGAAAUGACGCGGGCUUGACGGUACCUCAGGAAUAAGCAACGGCUAACUCCGUGCCAGCAGCCGCGGUAAUACGGAGGUUGCAAGCGUUGUUCGGAAUAACUGGGCGUAAAGGGAGCGCAGGCGGUUGGGCAAGUCCAAAGUGAAAGCCCGGGGCUCAACUCCGGAAGUGCUUUGGAUACUGCCUUACUCGAGUUCGUGAGAGGAAAGCGGAAUUCCAGGUGUAGCGGUGAAAUGCGUAGAUAUCUGGAGGAACACCGGUGGCGAAAGCGGCUUUCUGGCACGAUACUGACGCUGAGGCUCGAAAGCGUGGGGAGCAAACAGGAUUAGAUACCCGANUANUC
rnacentral:rRNA from 1 species